UACGGAGGGUGCAAGCGUUAUCCGGAUUCACUGGGUUUAAAGGGUGCGUAGGUGGGCAGGUAAGUCAGUGGUGAAAACACCGGGCUUAACUCGGUGCUUGCUUUCGAUACGGGCAGACUAGAGGCAUGCAGGGGAGAACGGAAUUCCUGGUGUAGCGGUGAAAUGCGCAGAUAUCAGGAGGAACACCGAUGGCGAAGGCAAUCCCCUGGGCCUGCACUGACGCUCAUGCACGAAAGCGUGGGGAGCGAACAGG
rnacentral:rRNA from 1 species